UCACCCGCCGCGACCGGUCCCUCCUCAUCCACCACGACCAUUCCCUCCUCCUCAUCCUCAUCGCCCUCAGCCAACACCAUGCCCUCCUACGCAGCCAGGGCCACCGCCCAGGACUUGCCCUCCUGGUUUGCCUCCGCCCCUAACAGGUGAUCAUUCACCAUCAAGGAGUUGAAGUUGUUGAACAGAAUCCAGUUAAAGAUUCAACUUAUAUAUGCACUAUCUGCUUGCUUUCUUCACAAAAGGGAAACUAAAAUAAAUGCCUUGUAUACGUUACGAUAGAACUCCCCAGUUGUUUGCAUUUUCCUGAAAUUUUUAUUAAGAAAACUGUUUGGUGUUUUAAAUCAUUGUCAAAACUCAAUAAAUAAUGGUUCUUCCAUAUACUCGAAACAGUCAUAUGCAAGAGCAAGAUUCUCAUACAAAAGAAUGCGAUUGAAAUGCAAAAUUAAUGGGACAUCAAUCAUGAUAUUAGUCGUUCGUGACCAAAGUAUUGCCAGAGCAUAACAAGAACAAUAAAAAAGCUUCCAUAAAAACCCAUAGGCCAUAUUUUUGUAAGAGACCACAUAGUUUCAGAGGUUUAUAUCUAAUACAUCCUAGUUUUCACUACUCUAUAACUUUGAUUCUACCGCAUAAAUAAACCUAAAAACCAACUAGUAGGACUUACCACCACCUGUUUGAAAUCUAAACCAAAUUACAAUUCAAAAUCUUCCAAUUUAAACAACAUAAUAGAAAUGUAAGACAAAAGUACUCAACACUAAUUUAAGAUUUUUGUUUUACUGCAAAAGAUCAAACCCCCUACUUAUUGAACAGAAGGGGGAAAUAGGAAAUUUUUUACUUUAAGAUUGAUGUGAGCCGUAUCAGCAGGCUUCUUGCCUCCUUCUUGAUUGGCUACUCCUGACAUCUUCUUCUAUCUAUGGGCCAUACGGGAUUAGUAGGGUUCAAAAUAGCAGUGGCAUAGUGGUUCGCAGCCGCUAUUUCGCAGUAGCGGCGCCCCCGACACCACUAAACACAGUUCAACAAAUUUAACAUGCAGCGGAUGGCAGCCGCAAGUAGCAGUGUAACGGGAAAUAGCGGCGAUAACAAGUCCGCUAUUUCAGCAAAAUCGAUGGGAGCAGUGCAGCAGACGCAGAGACGAGAAACAGAAACCGAGCCUGCCAUAACUCAAAAUCUGAUGACUCAAGUAGAAAUCAAUGUUUAAAUUAAGUUUAGGGUAUCAAAAAUUACCUUAGCUAAAUUCCUGGUCUCUCGGCAACUUGAAGGCGCUUGGGUCCUGAAGAGGUGGGUGGCUCGGGAAUUUUCGAAGGAGUGUUUAUUCGGACUAAGAGUUUUAUUUGAAUUUUAAAUUGUAAAUAUCUGGAAUGGGUUCAAUCAAUGGGAUUGGUCUCGAAACUAUUUUUUUUUAUUUAAAAAAUCGAACUUUAAUAAAUUGGA
rnacentral:lncRNA from 1 species